CUUUUUGGCCAUACUACCCUGCACAUACCUGAUCUUGUCUGAUCUCAGAAGCUAGGUAGGUCUGGGCCUGGUUAGUACUUGGAUAGGAGACCAAAUAAU
rnacentral:rRNA from 1 species